rnacentral:rRNA from 1 species
AUUGAACGCUGGCGGCAUGCCUUACACAUGCAAGUCGAACGGCAGCGGGGGAGAAGCUUGCUUUUCCUGCCGGCGAGUGGCGAACGGGUGAGUAAUACAUCGGAACGUGCCCUGUAGUGGGGGAUAACUAGUCGAAAGAUUAGCUAAUACCGCAUACAACCUGAGGGUGAAAGGGGGGGACCGCAAGGCCUCAUGCUAUAGGAGCGGCCGAUGCCUGAUUAGCUAGUUGGUGGGGUAAAGGCCUACCAAGGCGACGAUCAGUAGCUGGUCUGAGAGGACGAUCAGCCACACUGGGACUGAGACACGGCCCAGACUCCUACGGGAGGCAGCAGUGGGGAAUUUUGGACAAUGGGCGAAAGCCUGAUCCAGCAAUGCCGCGUGUGUGAAGAAGGCCUUCGGGUUGUAAAGCACUUUUGUCCGGAAAGAAAUGGCUCUGGUUAAUACCUGGGGUCGAUGACGGUACCGGAAGAAUAAGGACCGGCUAACUACGUGCCAGCCGCCGCGGUAA